AUGUGGUAGUCCUAUGGGCAGUAGCCAUCAUCGGGUUUGUAUUUGGGUGGCAUUGAGGGAUACAACAUUAGUUGUUAAGGAAAGGGCAGUUAAGUUAAUAAACCCUAGUUGCUACUUUCUUGAAUAAACUUUUUUCAUGAAAAAGAAAUAAAGGUGAAUUCAUGAUGUCAAGAUACAGAGAGGUUGCAGAAAUUGUUCUUAGAUAUCUAGAACAUAGGAAUCCCCUUGUUCGUCUCAGUAUAACUUCUUUAUUUUAGUUUAGAGAUUAGACAUAUAGAAAAGAAAAGAAGAAUGCAUGUUGUGUUUUAUUUUAAUUUUAAUAUAAAAAAACUGGGUAGGUGUUGACAUAUGCUCAGCAAUCUCGAGAGAUAUCAAAUUAUGAGCAAGGAGCCGGUGGCUCUUUUUUGUAUGACAGACCAGUUGUUUCCAAUCCAGGGGUAAUGGAAACCCAUGCUCUUAACAAGUAUUUAUGUUGCACCAGACACUUCACUUUCAAGGAAAAAAGCUUGAGAGCUUCGAACCAAUGAAAAAAAUGCAGCUAAAAGUUGUUUAGGUGAUGAAAUUAGAACAUCCAUGUUUCUUUUACUGGAGACCAAGUAUCCAAAAGUGAUUCCCAUCAAGUCACUAAAUCAAGAUAAGUGCCCUUUAGAGAUCAGAGGCAGGAAAAUGCGAUGAUAUCAGUGGAGUAAAUUCUGUAACUCAACUUCCUUUACUUUACUUCACUUAUUAUAUAUUUAUAUUUUUACUUCACAGUUUGUUCAGGUAAAAAGUUGUUAAUUUACCGAAUUGCCCUUUUUGUUAUAUUUUUUUUUUAAUUUUCUGAAAUGUUGGCAGGUGUUUAAUAAUAGUCCAGAUGAAACUGCUUAUAUUCGUUUUUGGUCCUUAUUGCAAGGUUCAAAAUCGAUAUGAAACCUUGAAAUAAGGACCAGAAUUGGAAGGAAAAAAAAGUUUCAAUAUUGGACCAAAAGAUAAACAAGCUGACAAGUCUCUAAGGCAAAAGAUAGCUUCCAUAACAGCCAAAGAUAAAAUCAACAAACUAAACCCAAAAAACCCACUUCAAGACAUUCAUGAAAACGGGAUAAAGAGUGGCAGAGUAGCAUAAACAUGGGGCAUUUUUGUUCUCGAUAGCCGAGGAAUGCUUUGGCAGUCAAAUCUCUGGAAUCAUUUGAUGCAACAAGGUGGAUAGAUAUAAACCUAAUUCGUCUAUGUUCCAAAUUUGGGGACUAUAGAAAAGAUGAACCUUCUUCAUUUUCUGUAAACCCUAGUUUCUCAUUGUUCCCUCAAUUCAUGUUCAAUCUUCAAAGAUCACAGUUUGUUCAAGCAUUUGCUCGGUUGUUACAUGCUCCACAUGAUGAUGCAGAUUGGUGGUGUGCGAUCAACAUGGCCUUCCUUGGUUUAUGAAUCUGAUUUUUUCAAUUUUGGUCACAAAAAUAUGUGAAAAACAAGCAAGAUUCUUAUUGGCUAAGUUGAAUCCAUCAACAACAUAUAACAAUGAAGUGGCUACAGAUGGAAUGGAUGUCAUCUUCCCUGAUGUUGUCAACACUAGUAGACCUUUGCAUACUGUUGAAAUAAGGUUUUAGAGAAACUGGUACAUAUAGCUUUAACUUCAUGUUUUUGCAGAUGACAGUAAGAGAUGCUUUGAACUCUGCUCUUGAUGAGGAAAUGGUUGUUGCUUCCGGUGUCUUUAUCAUGGGUGAAGAGGUAACUAGCUAGUACUGUGUUUAUCAUUAUAUAUCUAGAGAGUCACAAUCGCGUAAUGGUGACUGGAAUGCAAAAAAGGUCAAGAAUCAAAAUCCCAAGGAUAGGAAGGGGAUGUCUGACAAGAAGCCAAAUUCAAGAGAUGGUUCUGUUAGACAAAGAUCAGUUAGUUCGAAGUCAUGUCGGCGAUCGACUUCAAGUUCUAAAGCAAGUAAUAAGGCAUCCAUUAGAUCAAACAUGAAAUGGGUUAAACCCAACUACAGAUGGGUACCAAAGGUUCACACUCCCAAAUCAUCUAAUGAUUCUAACAUUUCUUCAUCUUCUAUGUCUGAUAAAUAGGAUAUGUCAUAGGAGAGAGCACCUUGCAUAUAUGAUACAGGUCAACCCAGUUUCAAAAUGGAUUAGGUUCCAAAAGCUAACUAAUCCUACACUUUGUGUCGGAGCAGCUAUGGAGGAAUAUCAUCAGACUUCGGUUUGUUGAUAGUGGUUGUUCCAGGCACAUGAUAGGGGACAUCUCUUACCUGUACAACAUUCAUAACUUAAAUUGAGAGUUUGUAUCCUUUGCGGGAAAGGAGGAAGAAAGAUAUCACCAAUGGGGAACGUGUUUAACGGCGUGUUGAAUUUUGAGUUUGCUUACUUCUGUUCCAGAAUUGAAACACAGCUAAGGCUGAAUACGUUACUGCAUCUUCUUGAUGUUAUCAAGUCAUCUAAAGGCGUCCUCAAUUGUUGAAUUACGGUUUGAAUUCUUUUGAUACUAUUGAGUUUUAUUCAAAUGAUUCGUUUCAAAGACAAAUUUUUAUUUUUGUUUGUUUAAAUUUGCACAUUUAUUCUAUUUCUUCCCCAUGCACAAAUCAAGGAGGAGAAAUCAAAAAUUAAAAAUUCCAAAAAAUAUUUUUCUUUCGUAAGUAUUUUUGGAAAGUGAUAUGAGAUUUAGUGAUAAAAGGGAAGUUAAAUUAUCUGACAACUUUGAUCCCAAAAGUUCUUGUUUUGUACAUUUUGUAUUUUAUUUCUGAUUUUCUUAAAUUUGUUCAUAUUUUCU